rnacentral:rRNA from 1 species
GAGCGAACAGGGAAGAGCCCAGCACCGAAUCUCCCGGCCCUUAUCGGCCGCGGCGAAAUGUGGUGUUCAGGAGCGGCCGUUCCCGCGGCGCGCGCUCGCUCAAAGUCCUCUUGAAAGGGGCCACGGCCCGUAGAGGGUGCCAGGCCCGUAUGGGGCGGCGCGCGCGUCCGGGUAGGGCCCAGUCUCCUCCGAGUCGGGUUGCUUGAGAUCGCAGCCCUAAGCAGGUGGUAAACUCCAUCUAAGGCKAAAUACUACCACGAGACCGAUASCKAACAAGUACCGUGAGGGAAAGUUGAAAAGAACUUUGAAGAGAGAGUUCAAGAGUACGUGAAACCGCCCAAGGGGAAACGGAAGGUGUUUGAGCAAACUAGUCCGGGGAAACUCAUCUCCGCUCGCGCGCACGCUCUCAGCUACCCGUCCGCCGGGCGGGGUUCGGCGGGGCGCUUCGCGGCGCUCCGCCGCGUCUACGCCCGGAGACUAUCGGACGGGACAACUAAGAUUAGCUUUGUCGCGCCUGGCCACGGAACCUACGCGAGUAUGCGCGCGGGCGGUGUGCACUUUUCCUUCGACAUAGUGCGUCGCGACCCGUUGGUCGGCGGCCUAAGGCCCGGGGCUCAGUCGGGGCCGGGAGCGUCCCCGCCCGCGAGGGUCGGCGCGCUGUACGUUUUUUUUUAAAACGUCGUGUCCCGGCCUCAGUCCCCGGUGUGCGUACGGGUGGGCGGCUGCCACGGCGGCGCCCUUUGUUCCCCGGCGCUUACCCGGCCGCCGUGUAAGACCGCUGAUGUAAUCUCGGCGGCAGUAACGACGAGUUAUAGAAUACGUGGAAGACGUCAUGACCGGCCAUUUUCUGGGCGGCUCGAUGGGAACCUUCGUCUCGCGUCGGCGCGGGCGUUCCGCUUCGCGGCGAACGUUCGUGGGGGCGCGGGGCGAGUCCUUUCGCGGUCGCUCCGAUUGUCGGCGUGUCACUCCGGACCAGCCUGCGGGCCUUCACAAGCGCGGGACGGCGGGGGUUUAAGUCUAGCGCGCGGCGGGUGGCUCCUCACGAGGCCGCCCUCGCGCGUAUCCUCCCGAUAAACCGUCCGCGUGGUGACAGGAGGGGGGAGAUCGUAGCGAAAGCUCUCUCGUGAUCACAGAGCGGUGUAAGUCUCAGACCACUUUCCGACCCGUCUUGAAACACGGACCAAGGAGUCUAACAUGUGCGCGAGUCAAAGGGCAGUACUAAACCCUAAAGGCGAAAUGAAAGUGAAAGCGGGGGAGCGCGCGGCGCUUGACCGCCCGCGCAGGCUCUCCCGGCGAAGGGAAGAUGGCCGGGGCGUUCGCCCCCGCGCAGAGGGGCGCGCGCCUAGACACUUCGGCUCGCAUUCCCUGGGCGUCGCUCGCCGAGAGCGGCGGCGCACCUAGAGCGCACACGUUGGUACCCGAAAGAUGGUGAACUAUGCCUGGCCAGGGCGAAGCCAGGGGAAACCCUGGUGGAGGCCCGUAGCGAUUCUGACGUGCAAAUCGAUCGUCUGAGCUGGGUAUAGGGGCGAAAGACUAAUCGAACCAUCUAGUAGCUGGUUCCCUCCGAAGUUUCCCUCAGGAUAGCUGGCGCUCGAAAACGUGAAAUACAAUGACAAACACCGAAUCUCAUUCGGUAAAGCGAAUGAUUAGAGGCCUUAGGGCCGAAACGGCCUUAACCUAUUCUCAAACUUUAAAUGAGUGAGAACGCAGGCAUGCUCAAAUAACGCCCAUGGGAUAGAAAUAUAUAUAUUUAUAUUUCAAUAGAGCGACUGAUGCCUGGCGUGAAAGAGACAGAACGAAAGUUAUUUUAUAUAUUUUUUUGUGAAAAGCUCUUUGUACGGAUCGAUGAGUGUCCAGUGGGCCAUUUUUGGUAAGCAGAACUGGCGCUGUGGGAUGAACCAAACGCUAAGCUAAGGCGCCUAAAUCGACGCUCAUGGGAAACCAUGAAGGGCGUUGUUUGCUUAAGACAGCUGGGCAGUGGCCAUGGAAGUCGGAAUCUGCUAAGGAGUGUGUAACAACUCACCAGCCGAAGCAACUAGCCCUGAAAAUGGACGGCGCUGAAGCGUUGUGCCUAUGCUUGGCCGCCGGGGCAAGGUGAGGGAGCCCGCACGUCCCGCGUCGGGUGCGCCGUUCUAAAGCCUAACCAGCUCGUUCGGUGCAGGAUCCCUGUGAAGCCCCGGUGAGUAGGAGGGUCGCGACGGUGUGCGCAGAAGGGUUGGGCGCGAGCCUGCCUGGAGCCGCCGUCGGUGCAGAUCUUGGUAGUAGUAGCAAAUACUCUAGCGAGACCCUUGAGGACUGAUGCGGAGAAGGGUUUCGUGUGAACAGCCGUUGCACACGAGUCAGUCGAUCCUAAGCCCUAGGGGAAACCCGAUGAAGAUGCCGGCCCUUCCGACCCACGUGAAGCAACCACGUGCCAAAAUUGAUUGUCUGCCCAAUAGCGCGUAGGCGAGCGGCCGCCCGGGAUCGUGCGAACAAAGGAAGGCCGCAUCGGGCGAAAGGGAAUCCGGUCCCCAUUCCGGAACCCGGUCGCGGAACCGUCACGUCGAGCCCGGCGUCUCAGUACGCACUAGUUCGUCGGGGUAACCUAACAUGACCCGGAGAAGCCGUGGGGAUGCCUGGGAAGAGUUUUCUUUUCUGUUUGAGCGCUCGGGUUCCCUGGAAUUGCCUAGCGCAGAGAGAGGGAAUGGGGCGCGUAGA